UGAGCAAUCUGCCCUUCUCAUCGGAAUAAGCGUUGGAAACGACGUCUAAUGCCGAAUACGACCUCCUUUCGCAUGAUCGGAGGUGGAAAGCUCCGGCGGAGAAGGAUGAGCUCGCAGCCUAUCAGCUAGUUGGUGUGGGUAAUGGCCCACCAAGGCGACGACGGGUAGCCGGCCUGAGAGGGUGACCGGCCACACUGGGACUGAGACACGGCCCAGACCUCCGGUAGGGGGCGCG
rnacentral:rRNA from 1 species